UGGGGAAUCUUAGACAAUGGGGGCAACCCUGAUCUAGCCAUGCCGCGUGAGUGAUGAAGGCCCUAGGGUCGUAAAGCUCUUUCGCCGGGGAAGAUAAUGACUGUACCCGGUAAAGAAACCCCGGCUAACUCCGUGCCAGCAGCCGCGGUAAUACGGAGGGGGUUAGCGUUGUUCGGAAUUACUGGGCGUAAAGCGCGCGUAGGCGGAUAUUCAAGUCGGGGGUGAAAUCCCGGGGCUCAACCCCGGAACUGCCUUCGAUACUGGAUGUCUGGAGUUCGAGAGAGGUGAGUGGAAUUCCGAGUGUAGAGGUGAAAUUCGUAGAUAUUCGGAGGAACACCAGUGGCGAAGGCGGCUCACUGGCUCGAUACUGACGCUGAGGCGCGAAAGCGUGGGGAGCAA
rnacentral:rRNA from 1 species